UUGUUCUUAUCUCCCCAGGAAAAGUUCAUACAAUUGACAUGUAGGAAGAACCAGGAACCCUGGUUACUGAUGGCUCGGGGAAAGAAGACUGAGAUACUGAUGGUGACACUACCCACUUCAAGUUUCUGGUCUGGGCAUCAUUGGGUGCAACAGGUGGUUGGUGAGAAGGAAGGCAGCUGCAGGGCUACCUGAUGGGGAGGAGGAAGAGGCCUAGCUCUGUCAUGUUGGGUCUCUCUGCUUUUUCUCUCCAUCUUCAUUGUCUACCCUUCUCUACUGUUUUUGAAACACAGUUGCAUGGGGUCAGAUUGGAUGCAUGUUUCUGAGUUGGAGGGUUUGGUUUGAGUUGAGGUAGCUGCAUUCCCACCCUUCCUAUCCCCCAACUCCCCCUGCCCAUGCCAAGUGAAACCAGAUGUCUAACAAGGUCUUGGCACCAGAAGGCUCAUUUAAACCAGGAUCAAGGGCUGGAGUGAUUGAGGGAGGGCUGGGGGGAGGGGGUUGGUUUGAAGUGUUGGCCACAUGAGAUGAUGUUUAGAAACUGCCUAACAGCAAGGCUCCUCCUCUGGCCUUAUCUUUGUUAUGACUGUAGCAGCCACAGCAGUAGCAGAGGCCUGGGGAGGCAAAGACCAAAGGGCUGAUUCAUUGCUGGUGGUCACAGGCCUCCUGGGAACAGGUCUGGACAGGAGGCAGGGAUGGAGAGCUGUUGAUGCUUUACUUGGGGAGGUGGAGAAGGAAAUGUAUGCCUGCUCCUGGGGAUUGUGAUGGAGUGUAUAUCUUAAAUGAGCAAUAGAUACCAGGCCAGGGCCCAUCUCCACUGCUGUGCAGAGCUACAUCUCAAUGAUGUCACAGGACCUGAAAGAGGAGCCAGGAAGAUGGCUCAGUGGUUAACCAUCUCUCUACUGCCUGCAGUACCUAAGUACCUAAUGAAAGAAGAAUGCUAUGCAAGUGGUUAUAUAUUUAGGGUAUAGAGAUAAGAAAAAUAUGAACACAUAUAUUACAGCUGCAUUAUAUUCAAAUAAUUUUUACUCAAAGUUGGUUCAACCCACAAGUGAACUAGGGAGGAGUGAGCUCCAGGAAUGUUUGGAGAUGCUGUUAAGCUUGCUGCCCAAUCCUUCUCAUGUACAGUCAUGGGGGACAUGCCAAUAGAGAUAGAUAAAAGAUGGAUGAUAGAAAGUCAGAUGACAGAUUGACACUUGAAGGUAGAUAGAUAAGCAAAGAGAUGAUAGAUAGAUGAUAGGCAGAUCUUUAGAAUUCAUGGAGAAGCUUCCUAGUAGUGCAAGCACCUGAAGUCCCCAUGCUCCUAUGGUGAGGUGGGAGGCAGAAACAGAGAAUGAAUGUGAGAUGAGAAUGGAUGUGGGUUUUGGUAUCUGUGGAGUUCUUGAAAUUAUCCCUGUUGUUCCUGAUUGAGAUAAGACUGUGGAAAAGGAAAAGCACCAAGGUGCCAGGGGAGAGGCCACCAGUGUGGAAUCCACCACAGUGAUGGGUUCUCUCUGGCUCAUGUGUAUGGAAUUACAGACCGGGGAUCUUCCCAGCAUAUCUUGGUGCCACAUGAUGCAGAAAAUCUACUUGAGCUUAGGGAUUCAUCUGCAGAGAACGUAGAAACAGAUAUGCUUCCGGAGGAAAAACCAGACUAAGAGUCGAGGGACCAGGAUCCCAGGCUGACUGUGCUGCUAAGUUGCUGUGCAUCCUCCUGCCGAUGCCUCUGCUUCUCCCGACCUCCUUUCUGCAAUGGCAUAUGCCACUUCUGCUGUGCACCACUAGAGUUUCCCUGUGGGCCCCAGACCUGCUCUUCUCCCUGCUUUUAGAUCCACUGCAGUCUCCCUUCAUUUAGAGCAGGCAAAGGAAAAGCAGGUUGCAGAGAGUGAUGCUAGUUUCUCCUCCUGGUGCUCUGGGCCUCACUCCUCCUGUCCUUUUGCUCUGCCACCACUGAUAGCAGCUUGAUACUGAGGGGCUCCUUUGUCAAGCAGAAUUCAACACAGGCAGUCCUCAUUUUUGGCACUCAAUGGCCUGGGACUCCCCGGAUGCAGCUGCCUCAUCCUGUAUCAGAAGCCUCUGUGCUCUUCUUUCUUUGUUCCUCUGACUCCUGCUCAAAGGCUCUGAGUUAUCCCACCUAAGCACACGUGUCCCUCUGGGAUCCAUUUCCCCACUGGACCUUCUGCUUUGUUAGGAGCUACCUGUUGGCUUUUCCUAGGAAGGCAGUGCAUUGUCCUGGCGGCCCCACUACCUCCCUCACUCUGUGGGUCCCCUGCAUUUGCAGUCUGUGUGCUGUGAUGAUUCCCCAGUGGGCUCUUUCAUUUCCUGCCACUGGUCCUGGUCCCUGGUGGGCAUGUGCCCAAAGACUCCUGUUCUUGGCACUCUUCCCCUACUAUCGACUUCUCCUUUGUUAUGGACUCACACAAUCAGUAGGCCUUCUUAAGUCAUUCAGACUUCUGCACUGUAGAGGAGGCUCUGAGCAAGAAUGUUGUGCUGUUCUGUCUUUGUCUACCCUGUGUGUGUGUGUGUGUGUGUGUGUGUGUGUGUGUGUGUGUCUGUGUGUUUGAAACAUAGUGUGUUAGUUAUUUUUCUAUUGCUGUAAUAAAACAUGAUCCAGUCAACUUACAGAAGGAAACUGUUGUUUGGGCUUAUGGUUCCAGAGCCAUGAGAGUUCAUCACCAUCAUCUCGGGGGAAGCAUGGUGGCAGGAGGCAUGGUAACUGGAGCAGCAGCUGGGAGCUCACAUCUUAAACAGGGAAGAUGAGGCACAGAAUACACUGGGAAUAGCACGAAGCCCUUUAUACCCCCAAAGCCUGCCUCCUGUGAUAUACUUCUUCCAGCAAGGUCAUUCCUUCUAAUGCCUCCCAAGUAUCUCUAUGAACUGGGAGCUAUGUAUUAAGAAAUCUGAGUCUGGUGGGAGGGGGCAUUCUCAUUCAAACCACCACUGAUAGAUAGGUGAUUGAUGAUAGAUGAUGAAUAGAGAUGACAGAUAGAUAGAAGUUAGUAAUAGAUGACAAAGGAUGAAGAUAAUAGAUACAUGGUAGAGAGAUGUCACAUAGACAGAAUAGAGAUGGUAGAGAAAUGAUGGAGAGACAGAUGAUAAGACAAGGUAGACAGAUGCUGGAGAGAUAGAUGAUAGAUAGACUCUGGAAGAUGGCUGGAAGACAGGUAGAAGUUAGUGCUUCACUGUGUGAACACAUGGAAAGCCACGCCUCACACAGCAUAUGCUGAGAAGCAGAGCGUUCUCACGUGUGAGCUCACCCAAGGCCAGACUACAAGGCCUCAGGCUGUCAUGAGGGGCAGAUGUGGAGGAGGACACUGUGCUCCUUGCUACAGGCCUCCCUGGCACAGGUGGAUGGGUUUACUCUGUCAUGAAUCUAGGGUGUCAGCUGGGCUCUAAGGAAGCAUUGCUUCCUGUAGCAGAAACUGAGAGCCUGAGGCCUUUGGAAGGUCAUGGGUAGGAGCCGGACCAUGGAGACAAUCUAAAGAGAGACUCAAUGUUUCCUCCCCAUUCUGGUAGUCUUCCGACUGUCCCAGUGCAAGGGAAGUAUGCCCUGGAAGGGGUGAUGGGUGGGGAGGGAAGGAAGAACCCAGACCUCAUAAUCCAAGAGCUAGAAGUAGAUCUCCUCAGAAGAACAGACUGAGCCUCGGAGCCUUGGGCAGGAUGGCUGGGACAUCUUAGAAGCCUGAC
rnacentral:lncRNA from 1 species